rnacentral:rRNA from 1 species
GACAGAAGGGAGCUUGCUCCGGAUGUUAGCGGCGGACGGGUGAGUAACACGUGGGUAACCUGCCUGUAAGACUGGGAUAACUCCGGGAAACCGGAGCUAAUACCGGAUAGUUCCUUGAACCGCAUGGUUCAAGGAUGAAAGACGGUUUCGGCUGUCACUUACAGAUGGACCCGCGGCGCAUUAGCUAGUUGGUGGGGUAAUGGCUCACCAAGGCGACGAUGCGUAGCCGACCUGAGAGGGUGAUCGGCCACACUGGGACUGAGACACGGCCCAG